rnacentral:rRNA from 1 species
UAAACAGGGGUUAUUCCCCCUAGGUAGCGGCGAGCGAAGCGGGAAGAGCUCAAAUUUAUAAUCUGGCACCUUCGGUGUCCGAGUUGUAAUCUCUAGAAGUGUUUUCCGCGUUGGACCGCACACAAGUCUGUUGGAAUACAGCGGCAUAGUGGUGAAACCCCCGUAUAUGGUGCGGACGCCCAGCGCUUUGUGAUACACUUUCAAUGAGUCGAGUUGUUUGGGAAUGCAGCUCAAAUUGGGUGGUAAAUUCCAUCUAAAGCUAAAUAUUGGCGAGAGACCGAUAGCGAACAAGUACCGUGAGGGAAAGAUGAAAAGCACUUUGGAAAGAGAGUUAACAGUACGUGAAAUUGUUGGAAGGGAAACGCUUGAAGUCAGACUUGCUUGCCGGAGCUUGCUUCGGUUUGCAGGCCAGCAUCAGUUUUCCGGGGUGGAUAAUGACGGUUUGAAGGUAGCAGUCUCGGCUGUGUUAUAGCUUUCCGUUGGAUACGCCCUGGGGGACUGAGGAACGCAGCGUGCUUUUUGCGAAAGACUCGUCUUUUUCACGCUUAGGAUGCUGGUGGAAUGGCUUUAAACGACCCGUCUUGAAACACGGACCAACA